AUUGAACGCUGGCGGCAGGCCUAACACAUGCAAGUCGAACGAGUGGCGGACGGGUGAGUAAUGUCUGGGAAACUGCCUGAUGGAGGGGGAUAACUACUGGAAACGGUAGCUAAUACCGCAUACCAUAAGAUGUGCCCAGAUGGGAUUAGCUUGUUGGUGGGGGACCGGCUCACCAAGGCGACGGUCCCUAGCUGGUCUGAGAGGAGGACCAGCCACACUGUAACGAAGACACGGUCCAGACUCCUACGGGAGGAAUCAGUGGGGAAUAUUGAACAAUGGGCGCAAGCCUGAUGCAGACAUGCCGCGUGUAUGAAGAAGGCCUUCGGGUUGUAAAUUACUUUCAGCGGGGAGGCGUUACCCGCAGAAGGAGCACCGGCUAACUCCGUGCCAGCCGCCGCGGUAAUAC
rnacentral:rRNA from 1 species